UACCAGCACCCCGAGUGGUCGGGACGUUUUAUUGGGCCUAAAGCAUCCGUAGCCGGUUCUACAAGUCUUCCGUUAAAUCCACCUGCUUAACAGAUGGGCUGCGGAAGAUACUAUAGAGCUAGGAGGCGGGAGAGGCAAGCGGUACUCGAUGGGUAGGGGUAAAAUCCGUUGAUCCAUUGAAGACCACCAAUGGCGAAGGCGGCUUGCCAGAACGCGCUCGGACGGUGAGGGAUGAAAGCUGGGGGAGCAAACCGG
rnacentral:rRNA from 1 species